rnacentral:siRNA from 1 species
AACAAAUGAAAAACAUAGAAAAAC